rnacentral:rRNA from 1 species
GGAAUAUUGGACAAUGGGCGCAAGCCUGAUCCAGCCAUGCCGCGUGCAGGAUGACGGUCCUAUGGAUUGUAAACUGCUUUUGUACAGGAAGAAACACUCCGACGUGUCGGAGCUUGACGGUACUGUAAGAAUAAGGAUCGGCUAACUCCGUGCCAGCAGCCGCGGUAAUACGGAGGAUCCAAGCGUUAUCCGGAAUCAUUGGGUUUAAAGGGUCCGUAGGCGGUUUAAUAAGUCAGUGGUGAAAGCCCAUCGCUCAACGGUGGAACGGCCAUUGAUACUGUUAGACUUGAAUUAUUAGGAAGUAACUAGAAUAUGUAGUGUAGCGGUGAAAUGCUUAGAGAUUACAUGGAAUACCAAUUGCGAAGGCAGGUUACUACUAAUUGAUUGACGCUGAUGGACGAAAGCGUGGGUAGCGAACAGGAUUAGAUACCCGUG